rnacentral:rRNA from 1 species
AGAGUUUGAUCCUGGCUCAGAACGAACGCUGGCGGCAGGCUUAACACAUGCAAGUUGAACGGGAUUUGUGUGGUGCUUGCACCAUAUAAUGAGAGUAGCGCACUGGUGAGUAACACGUGGGAACGUACCUUUUGGUGGGGGACAACAUCUGGAAACGGAUGCUAAUACCGCAUAAGACCUGAGGGUGAAAGAUUUAUCGCCGAAAGAACGGCCCGCGGAAGAUUAGGCAGUUGGUGGGGUAAAGGCCUACCAAACCUACGAUCUAUAGCUGGUCUGAGAGGACGAUCAGCCACACUGGAACUGAGACACGGUCCAGACUCCUACGGGAGGCAGCAGUGAGGAAUAUUGGUCAAUGGGCGAGAGCCUGAACCAGCCAAGUCGCGUGAGGGAAUAAGGCCCUACGGGUCGUAAACCUCUUUUGCCGGGGAGCAAGUCUUGGCUCGUGAGCCGAGAUGGAGAGUACCCGGAGAAAAAGCAUCGGCUAACUCCGUGCCAGCAGCCGCGGUAAUACGGAGGAUGCGAGCGUUAUCCGGAUUUAUUGGGUUUAAAGGGUGCGUAGGCGGGCUGGCAAGUCGGCGGUCAAAUGUCGGGGCUCAACCCCGGCCUGCCGUCGAAACUGCCGGCCUUGAGUGAGCGAGAAGCAGGCGGAAUGCGUGGUGUAGCGGUGAAAUGCAUAGAUAUCACGCAGAACCCCGAUUGCGAAGGCAGCCUGCCGGCGCUCAACUGACGCUGAGGCACGAAAGUGCGGGGAUCGAACAGGAUUAGAUACCCUGGUAGUCCGCACAGUAAACGAUGAAUGCUAGCUGUCCGGUCCGAUUGGGGAUUGGGUGGCACAGCGAAAGCGUUAAGCAUUCCACCUGGGGAGUACGCCGGCAACGGUGAAACUCAAAGGAAUUGACGGGGGC